AGUGAACGCUGGCGGUAGGCCUAACACAUGCAAGUCGAACGGCAGCACAAUAAGAGCUUGCUCUUACGGGUGGCGAGUGGCGGACGGGUGAGGAAUACAUCGGAAUCUACUUUUUCGUGGGGGAUAACGUAGGGAAACUUACGCUAAUACCGCAUACGACCUACGGGUGAAAGCAGGGGAUCUUCGGACCUUGCGCGAUUGAAUGAGCCGAUGUCGGAUUAGCUAGUUGGCGGGGUAAAGGCCCACCAAGGCGACGAUCCGUAGCUGGUCUGAGAGGAUGAUCAGCCACACUGGAACUGAGACACGGUCCAGACUCCUACGGGAGGCAGCAGUGGGGAAUAUUGGACAAUGGGCGCAAGCCUGAUCCAGCCAUACCGCGUGGGUGAAGAAGGCCUUCGGGUUGUAAAGACCUUUUGUUGGGAAAGAAAAGCAGCAGGUUAAUACCCCGCUGUUCUGACGGUACCCAAAGAAUAAGCACCGGCUAACUUCGUG
rnacentral:rRNA from 1 species